CUUUCUUUUACGGUACACUUAUUACCAGGUAAUUAACAGGUAAUUACCUAGUAAUAACAUGAAAUUAUCUGGUAGGUCAAUACUGUCUAGUUUUUCUUUUUUCUGUGCAGCUCCAUUUUCAAAAGCUAUUUGGGGUUCUUAUUUUCUAUGAUUGACACUUGAUACAGCCUAUGGGCGUGCAAAGAUUGCGUAGCGAUACGCUGUUUGAGCCGAGCAUUAUCACAGCGACUCACCCGCCGAAUGCGUACAAUGCUACUGCGCAAGUGGUGGUUCCAGGAAGUGGAGAAAAUCCUGGAAAUACCAGAGCAAUUCAGC